ACGGUGAAUGAUCACUGGCCUCUUCUUGUCAUCACCAUCGUGACUGAAAGAAAAAGAACAGACUGUCGGCCACGGGCAUUUUUCCGACAGUCCUAAGAAAAUUCUGACCGGACACUCACCUUACAAAGGGUCUCAUACCUGCUCCAUGGCACAGAAUAUGUGUGCGUCAUCCUGCUGGAAUCUUCGUACCCGGGAGCUGGAUACCAGAGGUCAGCGCCAGUGUAGCACAUAUGUGCUGAUGGCACUUCCUGUGGACGCUGGUUCGAGUCCUGGCUGGCCCACGU